rnacentral:lncRNA from 1 species
AUAAUAAUGCUAAGUAAGCUUAAUCAAAUUCAAAAAAAAUCUCAAAGAAAUUUCAAACAAACAAUAAGAAUUCUUAAAGAAAUAUUAGAAGGAUCACAAAUAUCACUCAAAUACAUCUCAAUUCAAUCUUAAUUUAAUUCUAGUUAAAAUCCUAUUGAACUUCAUUCAAACUUUAGGCCAAAACUAAUUGAAUCUUAAAUCCUAAUAAAAUCCUAAAUCCUAAAUCAAACCCUAAAAAAACCUUAAACCAAACCUCAACCAAAUCCUAAACCAAAUCCUAAUCAAAUCCUAAACCAAACCCUAAACCCUAAAUCAAAUCCUAGCCAAAUCCUAAUCCAAAUCCUAAAUCCUAAACCAAAUCCUAAUCCAAACCCUAAAUCAAAUUCUAAACCCUAAAUCAAACCCUAACUAAAUCCUAAAUCCUAAAUCAAAAUCUAACCAAAUCCUAAAUCCUAAAUAAAACCCUAACCAAAUCCUAAAUCAAAUCCUAAAUCCUAAACCAAAUCCUAAUCAAGCCCUAGAUCCUAAAUCAAAUACUAAACCCUAAACCAAAUCCUUGCCAAAUCCUAAAUCCUAAAUCCUAAAUCAAAUCCUAAUCCAAACUCUAAUCAAACCUUAAACCAAAUCCUAAACCAAAUCCUAACCAAACCCUAACCAAAUCCUA